rnacentral:lncRNA from 1 species
AUUUACAAUGUGCAGGGAUACUGGAGUGAUGGAGGUAGAUAUGUAUAGGGGUAAGGUACUAUAUACAGGGUCAGUUCCAGUAGCAUAUUUACAAUGUGCAGGGAUACUGGAGUGAUGGAGGUAGAUAUGUAUAGGGGUAAGGUGACAGGGAUACUGGAGUGAUGGAGGUAGAUAUGUAUAGGGGUAAGGUACUAUAUACAGGAUCAGUUCCAAUAGCAUAUUUACAAUGUGCAGGGAUACUGGAGUGAUGGAGGUAGAUAUGUAUAGGGGUAAGGUGACAGGGAUACUGGAGUGAUGGAGGUAGAUAUGUAUAGGGGUAAGGUACUAUAUACAGGGUCAGUUCCAGUAGCAUAUUUACAAUGUGCAGGGAUACUGGAGUGGUGGAG